rnacentral:rRNA from 1 species
CGUACACUCCUACGGGAGGCAGCAGUGGGGAAUAUUGGACAAUGGGCGCAAGCCUGAUCCAGCCAUGCCGCGUGAGUGAUGAAGGCCCUAGGGUUGUAAAGCUCUUUCACCGGUGAAGAUAAUGACGGUAACCGGAGAAGAAGCCCCGGCUAACUUCGUGCCAGCAGCCGCGGUAAUACGAAGGGGGCUAGCGUUGUUCGGAUUUACUGGGCGUAAAGCGCACGUAGGCGGACUAUUAAGUCAGGGGUGAAAUCCCGGGGCUCAACCCCGGAACUGCCUUUGAUACUGGUAGUCUUGAGUUCGAGGGAGGUGAGUGGAAUUCCGAGUGUAGAGGUGAAAUUCGUAGAUAUUCGGAGGAACACCAGUGGCGAAGGCGGCUCACUGGCUCGAUACUGACGCUGAGGUGCGAAAGCGUGGGGAGCAAACAGGAUUAGAAACCCUUGUAGUCCCAU